UUACCUUGGCAAGAGUUUUCGGGACCACGUGU
rnacentral:piRNA from 1 species